ensembl:lncRNA
AGGGAUGACUCCCAAGGAGGAAGGGUCUUAAGCUGGAGAUUCUUCUUGCAGCCCUUCUGUGAGCACAGGAUAUGGAAGAAAGGAAUGAUGUUUUAGAUGAGUAAGCACUCCUCUCCGUUCUUCUGCGGUUAUCCAGGAAAGAAUUCUUUUUGCCACCAGGAAAAUGUCAAGAGUUUGGAGGCUGCUUGAAGCUACACGGGCCUAUAGAUGAAAGGAUGACUCUAGCGUUUCAGACUGCUUCCAUAUUUGGUAUCCUCUCCUACCCUGUCCAAGAUGGUUCUCUUGAUUUUUCUGUGCUCGCUUUCCCCUGCGGUGGAAAACCACGUUUCUUUAGCUUUCAUGACAUAUCAACACAGUUUAAGAGCUUGUCUUUCCAUAAGUUGCCAACUGUGUUACUUGUGUCCAGCUUAACACAUUUCAAACCUUAGGAUGUUUUUUUCACCUGAGUGGAGCACUGAUGUCGACUGACUGUUAUGUAUAUUAGGUGUGCUAUCUACAGUGUAGUUGAAUUCCAACAAAAUGUGUCCAGGUUUUACAUUUAAUUUCUGCUUGCUCACAGAGACUGGACAGGCUUGGGCAUGUGGCUAUGUAAUCCACUGAAGGAUUUUUUUCUCAUUUGCCUUGCAUUCUCUUGUUCAGGAUUUCCAAAUAGCACUUCAUGGAACAACAGGAGUAACAGGACACAAUAUAAAAUAAUGCAUGUGUCAAAGACUGAGUUUUGGUGUCUGUGGGAACCAUAAAUUUGCACUUCCUGACUUCUGAGCGUUAAGAUGGGCUUUGAAUUCCUUGUUGUGCUAGCAUUAAUGCAGUUUAGCACAGUGAAUAACUUUCCUGCCCCACCUCUCUUCUUCUAGAUCUAGUGGUAGCACUGAUUUCACUGGGGUCUGCGGGCAAACGAACGAAACACUCACUUCACAUGUUAGAUUGGCCAAUUCUUGCUCCACAUGAUUUAAUGAAUCCAGAUCGUACUUUCAGUUCAAUAAGCCUUGGUCUUUGGCUUCUUUUACACAGCAGGACUAAAGGAGAACUGUUCAGCUGUGGCUGUGUGUUAAAUGGUGGGGAAGGCAGAAACUUCUAGAUAAAACAAAUCAUGCUUGGGGGAAGAAAACUUGGGGAAAAAAAGGAGCUUAACUAGAGUGCUACUGCUACAAUGUAGCACAGAGUGCAUUUUGCAGCAUGGUAACAGUGACUCAAAGGCUAAUACAGACCUGCCAGUUAUGGUUCAUUUCAAACUUAACGCAGUUUCCUCUCCAUGAACAUAUUAGUGGCAACCCAAAAAGUAAUUGUGUUGGCAGUGAGGAAGCCGUGUUAUUUAUUCUUGAAGGCUCUCUCAAAAAUAUGUUUAGAAUUAAGAUGUGUGAUGAGAAGAUGGUGGGCCUAGACUCGACAACUGCUGCUGGAAGAGUUUUGAUCUUAACAGGAACACACAUUUCCUUGUAUACUUCUUUGAUUCAGAAUGAAAAACUUUCAUGUUAGAAACAGUGAUGUUGAGGAGAAAAAAAUCUUCUGCCUUCACAAAACACUUAAUAAUCUUUAAAUCAUUAAAUCAUUAGUACAGGGAUAUAAAAGAGACUUGAAGAACAAACUUUUACUGCCUGACCCAUUUCCUUUCUGUUGGCUGAUGCAGCCACAGAGUUCCCUGCUGAGAUUAUACUCUUGGCACCUCUUCAAAAGAGCGUAAAAAUAGUGUUCUUGAUAUUUCUAAAGGCACUUCAAUUUCUCUUUUUUCACUGUUUUGUCUGUCUUCCUACCCAUCAUGAAGUGGAAAGAAUCCCUUUUUGUUUUGUCCCAUAAAUAUCGAAUUUGUCCACCUUAAUCGUGGGUGGUCAUGGUGAUUAGAAACAAAUUCUAGCCUACAGUCGCAUGUUAUGUCCCUAUUCCAGAGUAUUUUGUUUUAAUGUGGAUAGAGAAUUGUAGUUACAGAAAGAUAAUGCAAUGCAGGAUAUGCUGUAGUAGUAUUUAGCAGAAUGCUGGGUUUGGUAAUUCCAGCAACCAUUUAUACUUUGAAGACCAUUUGGUUUUAUUGCAUCUUCUUAAUUUUGCUGCUCCAAGCACUCAUGCUCUCUGGGCUGCUGUGGAAUUGACCAAAUACCUGUUGCUCAAGUCGCCAAUGAGCACGUUUGUUAGGAUGUGCAAUCAUACAGUGAGGAUGUACAAUUACAAAGGAGAUAAUACUUUAAUUCUAUAUACUUUUAUUUUAUUACAGGGAUGCAGCCGCUACUCUACUUUUUUUCACAUUAACUUCCGUUUUUCACUUGAGUUCCAUCUGUUAGCUUUAUGCCACCAAAGCAUCAUAUUUUACCUUGGUUCACAGCACUUCUCUUCCUGUACUGAGUCAAUGUUUCUGAUGUUUUCAGCUCUGCUCUUUGUUUUAGUUAAACUUCAGACAUUUGGGAACUUCUGUAAUCACUUCUCUCUCUCUUUUUUUUUUUUUUUUUUGUCACACUUUGGAGUUUUGUAUCAUUUUCUAGAGUUUCCCCAGUGAAAAAUGAAUACCCCAGUGUCAGCCUCGUUCCUUAAGCAACAACGUUUACAUGUUGCACAGCUGUCAGUUUCUUGCUGACAGCUUUUAUUUUUUGUACUGUUGCUAUAUUGAUGGACUGGAGAGAUCUCAAAGAUAGAAUAUGUCUACUUGCUGCUGUCAACUGGUAGCUGGAUAGAACAAUAAGAUCUAAAUUGGUGCCAACAACAUAGUUCCUGUAGUGUUGAUCAGCUGGGAGAUGUGGCAGCCAGCCAGCUGCAUGAGUGCUGAUCAGUCAAUGUGUGUGAUGCUCUGAGCUGACCUUGGCACCUGGAGCCCAUGGAAAAAGCAGGAGGCCACAGGAGCAAUGGGGAUGUGGCAAGGAGGAGUAGAAGCAGCAGCUGGGUGGCUGCACUGCAUGUGUUCUGUACAGAACUAGGAGCCUUCGGGUUUGCUGCCUGUUGUGCAGUUGGCUACAGAGAUUAUGCAGCACUACAGGUAAAAUAGGAAGGUUUGCAGUAUAUACAUGUGUAAUCACUUUGAUAUCUGGUCAUAACCACAGUUCUUUUCAAGUAAGCUCACUGAAGAUGAGAAACCCAGCAGAGUGACUUGAAACAUCAGUGGGUCAUGUGAAGAAUGUAUUUCCUUUCUUACAGUGCUGGUUGUAUGAGGGAUUGCCCCACGAAACAUGCACACUGAGGGAAACAACAACUAUGUAUUUAAAGGCAUAAUGUAUACAUAUUCAUUACAUUCCAAGAAAUUGGUUACAUAUGCACUGAGUUUCUGAGACUUAGUUAACAUAGUGUCCUGCCCCUCUGGCCAUGUGUUCUGAAAUGUGAGGAGGGCCUCUGGGCUCUGUGUGGUGAUUGCUGGAUGAAGGCUAGUAGUGACCUUCUUGAAGGCUCGACGUCUUCCUUGCUGUAAACUCCCAACUUUUCAGGGGGCCUCAAACCCAAACUGGCUUCUGCUAGGGUGUUGCUGAGGCAUCUAUUUUGUUUCCUCAUUUUACUUUAAAAAUUCUAUCCUUAAGCCUAUACUUAUGCUAGCAUUCUGUUCUUUUAGCUGAUGUCUGCCCAUAUUGGGUGAUAACAUUGGUCACUAUUCCACACACAUCAUGGUCACAGUCAAGGAAAUUUUCUGUCAACCACAUUUGGUGAUUCUGCAUAUAGAAAGAGGCCCAGGCAAACCUAAACAUGCCUCAGUCAGGCUUGGGUCCAUGCUCUGCCCUGUGAAUGUCCCACUGAAGCCAUGCAGUAGCUUCACGCAUCAGUGGGACCACUGCUGCAGGGACUGGCAUUGGGGCAGGUAGAUCCCUUGCCCUUGCGGUCUUUAAGUGAAAAAGACUUGACAAAAAAGCAUUUUUAGGGCUUUUUGAAACCUGCCCCUGUGCUGGGGGGCUGGCAGCUUGCAGGUGGGCUGCUGAGCUAGCAGGGGCAGAACCUGCACUGCCCACCCUUGACCUUGACCCUUGGCUAGUAGGCUAUAAGCAACCUCAAGGAGGGCAGCUGCUAGCUUCCACCCAUACAACAAGCAAACAAUCUUAUACAGGCUGGGGUGACCUUUGCCAAGAUCAAUAGCCAACCCAGUCCUGUUCUGCUUCAACUGUGGAAACAGGUAAGGAAUGAUUAAAAAAAAAAAAAAAAUGAAAUACCUCCAAAAGAAAGAGCAGGGGUAUGGAUAAUUGAACAAGUCCCAACAAAAACUUGGAAUUUAGAGGACUUUCUAGUCCUUAAUAAAAGGAAAAAGCCUCCUCAGGUGACUUGGGCAGCUAUACCCAAGCUGCCUGAGGAAAAAUAUUUGGCAAUCACACAAUUCACAGCCUGACAUGGGACGAGUCCCCCCAUAACUAGGGCCUCCAGAUGGGACCAGAGGCCCUAUGUCGAGUGAACGAUUUUCUAGUCCUGGAAAAACAUAAAGUGUGUAAUGGAUCUAGUAGAUACAGGCAUAGAAAUAUCAAUUUUUUACAGGGAUCCAGCCAUGUUUAAUGGGGAUAGAGUGAUGAUCAGUGGGUUUGGGGGACAGACCUUUCCUGUUACCCAAAUGUGGUUAAGGUUGGGGUUGGGGCAUAUCCCGUUCUGGGAGUAUAACGUGUCUGUUGUCCUGGUCCCAGAGUACUUCUUGGACAUAGACAUUUUAUGGGGUCUAGCUCUCCAGACAACUGUAGAAGAGUUCAGACUCUGGGAAAGGUGUAUUAGCAUCCAGGCGGUACAACUGAUAGGAAGAGACCACAUGUAGCACAAGCCUACUCACGCACCAGAAUUGCAUCAGAUAACUAAUAUGAAGCAGUAUAACCUCCCAGGGGGGCAAGAUGAAAUAUAGAGACAAUGCAGGAAUUAGAAAAAGCUGGGAUCAUAAGACCUGCCCCAAGCCUGUAUAAUUCCACUGUAUAGCCAGUGUGGAAGUCAGACGGCAUGUGGAGAAUGACAGUAGAUCAUAGAGAAUUAAAUAAUGUCACGCUACCUGUUCAUGGAGCUGUAACCAAUAUCACCUCUCUAAUGGACUCAUUGAAUAGGAAAAUAAAAACCUACCACUGUGUCCUAGACUUGGCAGAUGCAUUAUUCUGUAUUCCAAUUGCUGAAGAAUCACAGGACCAGUUUGCAUUUAUGUGGUGAGGCAGGUAGCAGGCCUUUCAGGCCCCACCACAGGGGUAGAUGCAUUCACCAACAUGGUGCAUGACCUGACAAAUUGGGGAAAAUCUAAUAAUGCUAACUUGUAUCAUUAUAUUGAUGAUCUCAUGUUGAUGUCUAACUCACCAGAGGCAUUAGGACAGGUGGCAGAUUCACUGACCACCUAUCUGCAGGGAAAAGGAUGGGCUAUAAACCCUCAGAAGGUGAAGGAUCUGGGCCCAUCUGUAGAAUUCUGGGGCUAGUUUGGUCAGGAAAGACCAAAGUACUACCCAGUGCAGUAAUACAUAAAGUUCAAGCAUUCCUGCUCCCUCCAGUACUGAAGCAGCUGAAGGAUUUCUUUGGUUUAUUGGAAUAUUGGCAUUCCUUUAUACUUCAUUUAGUGCAGCUACUGAUAACAUUACAUAGACUCACAAAAAAAAGGGGCAGCUAGGGGACUGGGGGAGAAUGGAACACGAGGCUUUCCAACAGGCAAAACUAGCCGUUAAGCCCAGAAGUUAGGUAUACUUGAUCCUACCAGCCAAACCAGAUAUUUGUGUCACUCAGUACAGCUUUGGCCAGGGCCUGCGGCAAUGCCAGAGUUCCCUUUGAUCCCUGAUUGGGUUUCUAUAUCAGGUCCCGCACCGAGCAGAAGAGAUAUACAGUAUGAUUGAGAAAUUGUUGCUGACUACCUAUUCUGCACUGCAGGCAAUAGAGCCAAUUACUCAAACAGCUAAGAUUGUGGUAAAAACAAUGUUGCCAAUUCAGGGGUGGGUAAAAGAUCUAAGCCGCCUUCCUAAGACAGGGGUAGCCCAAGCCCUAUCUGUGGCAUGUCUGGUAACCUUCCUCAGCCAGAGGAACCAUCUAUCUUUGUCACCAUUUAAGGAAGAACUCCAGAAGACCCUUGGCCUGUUGAUGUACUGUAACGAUGCUCCAGAAGAGACGACAGUCACUCUACAAGAAAAGAGUCCCAUCCAGGAAGGGAAGUAUUCCUUUCCUGAAGAUGCCUGGUAUACAGACAGGUCCAGGAAAGGUAACCCCAGUGAGUGAAGUGCAGCGUACCAUCCCUCCACUGACACAACGUGGUUUGAAAAGGGGGAUGGUCAAAGCAGGCAAUGGGCAGAGCUGCAAGCUCUGUGGAUGGUUAUUGCUGAGGAACCCGGCAACAGCACAUAGAACAUCUGCACAGAUAGCUGGGCUGUAUAUCAAGGUCUCACUCUUUGGAUCACAUGGCAGGUUACCCAGGACCAGACCAUCCACACCCAACCAAUCUGGAGCAAGGAGAUGUGGUUAGACAUAUGGAAUGUGAUCAAACACAGAGCCAUAUGCAUCUACCAUAUUCCUGGACAUCACCCUGCAAGGCAGUCACCAGAAAAUGAUGAAGUCAAAAUGUUGACUUGAGUAUGGUGGAUUGAGAACUCUCCUUCAGAGAACAUCACCCACUGGCUACUCCAGAAGCCAUGACAUGCCAGACAGAAGAUGAUGCAGGCAGCAGACAUAGCACAGGGACUUCCCAUAAUGAUGUCAGAUAUCACCCAGGCACAUAAUGAUUUCAACCCUUCCUUAAAGAUGAGACUGAAAACCUUGCCAGAGAUGACUGCCUACCUUGCCAGAAGACAUAACCCCCUCCAAAGGUGGCAAGUUGAUUAUAUAGGCCCUCUCCUGUGAUCUGAGGGGGCCAGAUACACAUUAACUUGCAUUGACACGGCAAAUGGACUGACGCAGGCCUAUCUAGUACCAAAAGCAAACCAGGCCUGUAGCAUCAAGGCUGUAACCAAGUUAAUGGCAGCAUAUGGGACUCUGCAGGUCAUCAUGAGCAACCAGGGUGUAUGCUUCACAGGCAUGAUGGUGCAAUGCUGGGUGGAAGAGAACAACAUUGAAUGGCAAUUCCAUCUGCCAUAUAAUGCAGUGGGAGCAGGCCUCACUGAACAUUAUAAUGGCAUCCUUAAGGCUGCUCUGAAGAUAGAUCCUGCAGGGGCAGAUGAAGAGAUCUCACAAAAACCCAUGGGACCUGAAAGAAAGACCUAGGGACAAGACACCCAGUACCCCAAAGAUGCCCCAAAUGGCUUUGGCCUCUUUUCUUAGGAUCCAAAUUGAAGGCACUUUCAGUCAGGUAAGACCCCAGUUUGGCAAUGAAAAUAACCUUCUGCUCCCUGCCCCUGAGAAUCUAGAACCUGUUACUUGUAGAAUAGAAUGGCCCUGGAAGGUGCAAGUAGGACUGAAGUGGCAUGGCCUACUCCCACCUCGUGGGAGAUUACUGGAGGUGGAUGGUUUGGUACCUCCUCCAGUAAUCAGCACAUGGGUUAGUGACAUCAUGGUCAGCACUUAUGUCUUCAUUACUAAAGGGACCCAAAUCAUGUCCCUAUGUCAGAUCAGGAUCCCCCUUUCGGUACCUGAUAUAGUUACGCAGCUACAGAUAUCAGGCUAAAGGGUGUGGUACAGAUGGCUGGGACAUCACAGAAUCAUAGGGCUUGGAAGCGACCUCCAGAGGUCAUCAAGUCUGACCACCCUGCAAAGCAGGCCCCCUACAGUAGGCUACACAGGUAGGCAUCCAGAUAGGUCUUGAAUAUCUCCAGGGAAGGAGAAUCCACAACCUUCCCAGGCAGGCUGUUCUAAUGCUGUGUUAUCCUCACUGUGAAGAAGUUCCUUUAUAUAUUGGUGCGGAACUUUCUAUGCUCAAGUUUAUGGCUAUUUCCCCUUGUCCCAUCCCCACAGACCACUGAAAAGAGGUUGGCCAUGUCUCUUUGACUCCCAUACGUAAUGUUUGUAAAUAUCUUAAUAAGAUCCUCUCAGAGUCUUUUGUCAAGGCUGAACAGAUGCAUUCCACUCAGCCUCUCCUCACAGGGGAGGUGCUCCAGGUCCUGUGUCAUCUUUGUGGCCCUCUGCUGGACUCUCUCCAGAAGAUCCUAGUCUUUGUACCAGGGAGCCCAGAACUGGAUACAGUACUCUAGGUAAGUCCUGACAAGGGCAGAGUAGAGGAGGAGGAUCAUUUCCCUCAACCUGCCAGCCACACUCCUUGUAAGGCACCCCAGGAUCCCAUUGGCCUUUUCAGCCACCAGGGCACACUGCUGGCUCAUGGCCAACCUGUGGGGUUUGCAGCCCUAAAAUGAGAUGGAAAGUCCUGUUCCUUGACCUAGACUCUGGAAGAACACAGCUGGUAGCUGGAAGGGAGUUUGUUGUUAUGAAAUUAGGAUGGAGGAAGAACCGCUUGUCCUGCUUUGAAAUAUAGGUUGUGAUAAUGCAGAACAGGAAGACAUGCCAGCAGGAUGUGGGGCGCUGUUAAAUCUUUGUAAAUAACGCCAGGUGGCUUUUAUAUAACUGAUAUUUACUAACAAGUAAGCUAAUUAAUCAUAGAACCAUUUGUCAGCAAUUAAUGGAACAGUAUAAAAGAAGAAAACAGAACACAAUAAAGUGGACAUCAGUAGCAUUCAUAUUGAGUGUAUUACUGUGUCUCAUUCUUCGCCGCCACACCAACCCAUCACCCACCAGGAAUCCCAAGUCCUUCUCCACAGAGACCCUCUCCAGCAGGUCAUCCCCCAACCUGUACUGAUACUUGCCAGGUGCAGGACUCUACAGUUG